rnacentral:rRNA from 1 species
AUUGAACGCUGGCGGCAUGCCUUACACAUGCAAGUCGAACGGCAGCACGGGUGCUUGCACCUGGUGGCGAGUGGCGAACGGGUGAGUAAUAUAUCGGAACGUACCUUAUUGUGGGGGAUAACGCAGCGAAAGCUGUGCUAAUACCGCAUAAUCCCUAAGGGGGAAAGCGGGGGACCGUAAGGCCUCGCGCAAUUAGAGCGGCCGAUACCUGAUUAGCUAGUUGGUGAGGUAAAGGCCCACCAAGGCAACGAUAAGUAGCUGGUCUGAGAGGACGAGCAGCCACAAUGGGACUGAGACACGGCCCAGACUCCUACGGGAGGCAGCAGUGGGGAAUUUUGGACAAUGGGGGCAACCCUGAUCCAGCAAUGCCGCGUGAGUGAAGAAGGCCUUCGGGUUGUAAAGCUUUUUUGUCAGGGAAGAAACAGCAGCUCUAACACAGUAUGCGAAUGACGGUACCUGAAGAAUAAGCACCGGCUAACUACGUGCCAGCAGCCGCCGUAA